CAGGCACUGGGACUCUGGUGGCACCCUGGGUGGCAGGCAAGCCUUGAAGUCAAGUGCACGAGCCUUGGAAAGGAGGACCGGGAGAGUUAUGGCAUUUAUGAAUGAAGAAGAGAAAGAAUCACUCGGAGGGGAAAAGUUAACUGGAUUGUUCCCAACUGCAUGGAUCACCGGGAUGAAGCUGUGCCACCCUGUAGGAAUUAGAAGACCAUGUCCAGGAAUUGAGCACUGGGUGCAGGAUCCAGUCUUCUCAGGCCCUGAAUCCACAUGUGGUCCUAAUAUGCUAUUUGGAAAAUACAAAGUGGAAAGAAGAAAAAUGAAAGUCAUGCAUCGUCCUUCAACCCAGGGAUAACUCCUGCUAACACUCGGAUGGAUGAAUUUUACAUAUACAUAUAAAUAUUCUCAUCUACAGUCAAAUUGCCUUAAUAAACCACUAAUUCCUCAAUUUC
rnacentral:lncRNA from 1 species